AAAUCAAAAGAUAAUAAUUAUAUAAUCCUAAACUAUAUAUUUCCCCUAGAACCCUCUAGUUUGAAAGCUUCUGAGUUAGAUAAAAUAGCAGGCAAGUCCCGGGCUGUUUUUGAGGCCAAGUUCAUCCCGUAGAAGCUGUAACAGACAGUGUCUACAGAAAGCACAGUAAGGUGAAACCAUUACAGAAGUACCUGCAGGUGUCAGGAACACAACUGGACACAGAUGCAGGUUACGGUGCAGGACCAAUUUAUUCAAAAACCUCAAAAGAAAAAACUUCCUCCAAUGAACAAAAACAGGCCGGGAAAUUAGGAAAAAUGUCCAACAGAAAAAGAGACUUCAAAUGUCCUUGCAAAAACACCCGGCAGGGGGCGCUCAACGGCGCGGCCGCGAUGAUAGCGGAGAGGGGAGGAAGCCACGAGCGAGCCAGCGACCGUGCAAAAACUCUUCUGGGAAAUGCCGAAAAACAAAACAAACCAAUAGCAGCAAACAGAGGCACGACAGAACACGGCUUGACAGGAUCAGACAAAGUGGAUACACGGGGAUUGUUGCCGAACAACGAUCUGGCACCGAUAGGCGCGACAGACGGGAAUAAAUAGAGCAAGAGAUGAACAGACAUUGAAUUCAGGUGAGCGAGGUCAAACCAUUAGAAACGGAAACUGUGAUAAUGAGGGGGAGGGAGGAACGCCAAAGAUAGGUGCAAGACGAGCGAUCAAAACCAAAACAAAACACCAUGUGCGCACGAAAUGCAGACAUAUACAGAAACACACACACACACACACACAAGAACGGGGUGAUCAGACAGUGGACAUGACAGCAGGGGCACAGGCAUGUUGUAUUAUGUGUAUGUGUGUGUAUGUGUGUGAGCUGCUGACAUGUUGAUCUCUCCGGGCAUGAAGCCCUUGAGUCUCUUAAACCCUUCCCCAGCAGUGAGACCCCUCUCCUCUGCUCUUUUCUUUCCUCGUCUCAUUCUCCUCCCCUUUUGCAGGCCAGGCAGAGGUGAAAUCAGUCAAGUCGAAAGACUGAACAUUUCUCACAAUUGCUAAAUCUUCUUUGCUUCAGCAAAUAGAGAAGAGCGCACGCGCGUAUGUGUGUGUGUGUGUGUGUAUUCACUACUCCUGCUAAGGCCUACCGCCACAGUCCACUCAGCAAACACACAUCACUUGUAGACAUUACCUUAGUAAUGAGACACAUUGCAUGUUUGUGUGCAUAUAGGACAGUCAACAUCUGGAAUGCAGCAAGAGCAUGUAGACAAAAUAUAACCUGCUGAGUUUUCAAGAGUGGAAUGCACUGUAAUGGUGUGUGGCCAUUAGCUGGAUGCUGUGUGUUAUAGCUCUCAGUGCCUGCGGUACCACUCUGUAUCUCCUGCUGGGUUAGACCCAUCGC
rnacentral:lncRNA from 1 species